UACGUAGGGUGCGAGCGUUGUCCGGAAUUAUUGGGCGUAAAGGGCUCGUAGGCGGUUUGUCGCGUCGGGAGUGAAAUCCACUGGCUUAACUGGUGGCUUGCUUUCGAUACGGGCAGACUGGAGGUAUGCAGGGGAGAACGGAAUUCCUGGUGUAGCGGUGAAAUGCGCAGAUAUCAGGAGGAACACCGGUGGCGAAGGCGGUUCCCUGGGCAUGUCCUGACGCUGAGGAGCGAAAGUGUGGGGAGCGAACAGG
rnacentral:rRNA from 1 species